rnacentral:rRNA from 1 species
CACCGCGGUUAAACGGUAGGCCCAAGUUGAUCCGCCUCGGCGUAAAGUGUGGUUAAUAGGUAAUAUUAACUAAAGUCGAACAUCUUUAAGGCUGUCAUACGCUCCCCAAGAUGAGAAGCCCAACGACGAAAGUGACUUUAAUAUCUAUGAAUCCACGAAAGCUGGGACA